GAUGAACGCUGGCGGCGUGCCUAAUACAUGCAAGUCGAGCGAACAGACGAGGAGCUUGCUCCUCUGACGUUAGCGGCGGACGGGUGAGUAACACGUGGAUAACCUACCUAUAAGACUGGGAUAACUUCGGGAAACCGGAGCUAAUACCGGAGAAUAUAUUGAACCGCAUGGGUCAAUAGUGAAAGACGGUUUUGCUGUCACUUAUAGAUGGAUCCGCGCCGCAUUAGCUAGUUGGUAAGGUAACGGCUUACCAAGGCGACGAUGCGUAGCCGACCUGAGAGGGUGAUCGGCCACACUGGAACUGAGACACGGUCCAGACUCCUACGGGAGGCAGCAGUAGGGAAUCUUCCGCAAUGGGCGAAAGCUUGACGGAGCAACGCCGCGUGAGUGAUGAAGGUCUUCGGAUCGUAAAACUCUGUUAUUAGGGAAGAACAAAUGUGUAAGUAACUAUGCACGUCUUGACGGUACCUAAUCAGAAAGCCACGGCUAACUACGUG
rnacentral:rRNA from 1 species